UACGGGGGGGGUAAGCGUUAAUCGGAAUUACUGGGCGUAAAGCGUGCGCAGGCGGCUUUGCAAGACAGAUGUGAAAUCCCCGGGCUCAACCUGGGAACUGCAUUUGUGACUGCAAGGCUAGAGUACGGUAGAGGGGGAUGGAAUUCCGCGUGUAGCAGUGAAAUGCGUAGAUAUGCGGAGGAACACCGAUGGCGAAGGCAAUCCCCUGGACCUGUACUGACGCUCAUGCACGAAAGCGUGGGGAGCAAACAGG
rnacentral:rRNA from 1 species